rnacentral:rRNA from 1 species
CCUACGGGCGGCUGCAGUCGAGAAUCUUCCGCAAUGGACGAAAGUCUGACGGAGCGACGCCGCGUGCGGGAUGAAGGCCCUUGGGUUGUAAACCGCUGUCAGAGGGGAUGAAAUCUUCGGAGGUACUCCUCCGAAGUUGACAGAGCCUCAAAGGAAGCACGGGCUAAGUACGUGCCAGCAGCCGCGGUAACACGUACUGUGCGAACGUUAUUCGGAAUCACUGGGCUUAAAGGGUGCUCAGGCGGGAAGUGAAAUGCCUGAGCUCAACUGAGGCAUUGCGCUUGAAACUGAACUGCUUGAGUAUCCCAGGGGUGUGCGGAACUGCCAGUGGAGCGGUGAAAUGUGUUGAUAUUGGCAGGAACACCGGAGGCGAAAGCGGCACACUGGGGGAUAACUGACGCUGAGGCACGAAAGCCAGGGGAGCGAACGGGAUUAGAUACCCUAGUAGUC